rnacentral:lncRNA from 1 species
AGCUUUGCUGAUGAUAUCUGUAUCUUAAAAAGUGAGGAGGUUUUUGAGUCUUUAAGAAGCCGCUGGGAUGUUAAUUUCAAGCUGGAUCGGGACAUUUGGGAAGAUUCUUGUUUUAUCACAGAAGCUCCUGCCCUGAAGAAGUCAGAUCCUAAGACAAAGACAAGAGUUUCCCAUUACAACUGCAGUUCAAGAGGCUCUACAGUCAGGGCAAGUUGGAAGGGAUGA